rnacentral:rRNA from 1 species
UACAGAGGGUGCAAGCGUUGUUCGGAAUUAUUGGGCGUAAAGCGCGUGUAGGCGGCUUUGCAAGUCGGGUGUGAAAGCCCUCAGCUCAACUGAGGAAGUGCGCCCGAAACUGCAGAGCUUGAGUGCCGGAGAGGGUGGCGGAAUUCCCCAAGUAGAGGUGAAAUUCGUAGAUAUGGGGAGGAACACCGGUGGCGAAGGCGGCAUCCUGGACCAAUAUUGACGCUGAGGAGCGAAAGCUAGGGGAGCAAACGGG